AUUGAACGCUGGCGGCAGGCCUAACACAUGCAAGUCGAACGCGAAAGUCCUUCGGGAUGAGUAGAGUGGCGGACGGGUGAGUAACGCGUGGGAAUCUGCCCUGUAGUGGGGGAUAACGUUCCGAAAGGGACGCUAAUACCGCAUACGCCCCAAGGGGGAAAGCGGGGGAUCUUCGGACCUCGUGCUACAGGAUGAGCCCGCCCCCCAUUAGCUAGUUGGCGGGGUAAUGGCCCACCAAGGCUGUGAUGGGUAGCCGAGCUGAGAGGUUGAUCGGCCACACUGGAACUGAGACACGGUCCAGACACCUACGGGUGGCAGCAGUAGGGAAUAUUGGGCAAUGGGCGAAAGCCUGACCCAGCCAUGCCGCGUGAGUGAUGAAGGUCCUAGAGAUUGUAAAACUCUUUUCUGAGGAAAGAAUGAAUAGGGAAGGAAAUGUCCUUAUUUUGACGGUACCUCAGGAAUAAGGAACGGCUAACUCCGUG
rnacentral:rRNA from 1 species